rnacentral:rRNA from 1 species
GAGUAGACCCGAAACCGGGUGAUCUAUCCAUGUCCAGGUUGAAGUUGCCGUAAAAGGCAAUGGAGGACCGAACCCACAUCCGUUGAAAAGGGUGGGGAUGAGGUGUGGAUAGGGGAGAAAUUCCAAUCGAACCCGGAGAUAGCUGGUUCUCCUCGAAAUAGCUUUAGGGCUAGCCUCAUGCAAGUCUUACGGAGGUAGAGCACUGAAUUCCUAAGGGGGCGUCAAAGCUUACCAAGGGAUAUCAAACUCCGAAUGCCGUGUAGAUGGUGCAUGGGAGUCAGACUAUCCGAGAUAAGUUGGGUAGUCAAAAGGGAAAGAGCCCAGACCUACAGCUAAGGUCCCAAAAUGUGUGUUAAGUGGAAAAGGAUGUGGGAUUUCGAAGACAACUAGGAUGUUGGCUUAGAAGCAGCCAUCCAUUAAAAGAGUGCGUAAUAGCUCACUAGUCGAGAGGUCCUGCGCCGAAAAUGUCCGGGGCUGAAACACACUACCGAAGCUUAGGAAUUGAUGAAUGUCAAUUGGUAGAGGAGCAUUCUUAACGGGGCGAAGCUGUACCGGAAGGAGCAGUGGACUGUUAAGAAGAGAGAAUGCCGGAAUGAGUAGCGAGAGGAAGGUGAGAAUCCUUCCGGCCGAAUAUCUAAGGUUUCCAGAGUAAAGCUGAUCUGCUCUGGGUAAGUCGGGGCCUAAGGCGAGGUCGAAAGACGUAGUCGAUGGAUAACAGGUAAAGAUUCCUGUACU